UCGGGAAUAUUGCGGCAAUGGAGGAAACUCUGACGCAGUGACGCCGCGUGCAGGAAGAAGGUUUUCGGAUUGUAAACUGCUUUAGACAGGGACGAAACAAAUGACGGUACCUGUAGAAUAAGCUCCGGCUAACUACGUGCCAGCAGCCGCGGUAAUACGUAGGGAGCAAGCGUUAUCCGGAUUUAUUGGGUGUAAAGGGAGUGUAGGCGGCUUUGCAAGUCAGAUGUGAAAGCCCGGGGCUCAACCCCGGGACUGCAUUUGAAACUGUGAAGCUGGAGUGUCGGAGAGGUAAGUGGAAUUCCUAGUGUAGCGGUGAAAUGCGUAGAUAUUAGGAAGAACACCAGUGGCGAAGGCGGCUUACUGGACGAUUACUGA
rnacentral:rRNA from 1 species